UCGCUACUACCGAUUGAACGGCUUAGUGAAUUAUACGGACCAUUGUAUUGUAGUGGGUUUCCAUUAUUAUACAUGUGGGAAGUAUUGUAAACUUGAUCGUUUAGAGGAAGUAA
rnacentral:rRNA from 1 species